ACUCCUACGGGAGGCAGCAGUGGGGAAUAUUGCACAAUGGAGGAAACUCUGAUGCAGCAACACCGCGUGGAGGAUGACACAUCUAGGUGCGUAAACUCCUUUUAUAUACCAAGAUAAUGACGGUAGUAUAUGAAUAAGCACCGGCUAACUCCGUGCCAGCAGCCGCGGUAAUACGGGGGGUGCAAGCGUUACUCGGAAUCACUGGGCGUAAAGGGUACGUAGGCGGAUAAAUAAGUUGGAAGUGAAAUCCUAUGGCUCAACCAUAGAACUGCUUCCAAAACUAUUUAUCUAGAAUAUGGGAGAGGUAGAUGGAAUUUCUGGUGUAGGGGUAAAAUCCGUAGAUAUCAGAAGGAAUACCGAUUGCGAAGGCGAUCUACUGGAACAUUAUUGACGCUGAGGUACGAAAGCAUGGGGAGCAAACAGGAUUAGAAACCCGUGUAGUCC
rnacentral:rRNA from 1 species